AACAGCUGGGUCGAAACGCAUAAUAUUUUCCUGCUAGAGAAAGACGCUGAUUAGGCUGUGGAGUACCUAAUUGGGAAGUUCAUAUGAAGUUUCUGAACCUCCACUUUGGCCCUUAGGGAGAAACAGCCCGGAAAUAAGGUGAAAGUGUUCUGAAAGAAACGAGGAAAUCUCAAAAGGGAAAAAAAAUCGCACAUUAUAGAAAUGCUGAUGUGGACAGUGACACUUCCAAUCCAGCCUGUGACAUCUGCCUUGAAACAUGGUGGGUCAGCCAGGAGGUGAGGAGGUGGGGA
rnacentral:lncRNA from 1 species